AUACGGAGGAUCCGAGCGUUAUCCGGAUUUAUUGGGUUUAAAGGGAGCGUAGGCGGACUAUUAAGUCAGCUGUGAAAGUUUGCGGCUCAACCGUAAAAUUGCAGUUGAUACUGGUCGUCUUGAGUGCGGUAGAGGUAGGCGGAAUUCGUGGUGUAGCGGUGAAAUGCUUAGAUAUCACGAAGAACUCCGAUUGCGAAGGCAGCUUACUGGACUGUAACUGACGCUGAUGCUCGAAAGUGUGGGUAUCAAACAGGAUUAGAUACCCUGGUAGUCCACACAGUAAACGAUGAAUACUCGCUGUUUGCGAUAUACGGCAAGCGGCCAAGCGAAAGCAUUAAGUAUUCCACCUGGGGAGUACGCCGGCAACGGUGAAACUCAAAGGAAUUGACGGGG
rnacentral:rRNA from 1 species